GAUGAACGCUGGCGGCGUGCCUAAUACAUGCAAGUCGAGCGAACAGAUGAGGAGCUUGCUCCUCUGACGUUAGCGGCGGACGGGUGAGUAACACGUGGAUAACCUACCUAUAAGACUGGGAUAACUUCGGGAAACCGGAGCUAAUACCGGAUAAUAUAUUGAACCGCAUGGUUCAAUAGUGAAAGACGGGUUUGCUGUCACUUAUAGAUGGAUCCGCGCCGCAUUAGCUAGGUGGUAAGGUAACGGCUUACCAAGGCAACGAUGCGUAGCCGACCUGAGAGGGUGAUCGGCCACACGGGAACUGAGACACGGUCCAGACUCCUACGGGAGGCAGCAGUAGGGAAUCUUCCGCAAUGGGCGAAAGCCUGACGGAGCAACGCCGCGUGAGUGAUGAAGGUCUUCGGAUCGGAAAACUCUGUUAUUAGGGAAGAACAAAUGUGUAAGUAACUAUGCACGUCUUGACGGUACCUAAUCAGAAAGCCACGGCUAACUACGUG
rnacentral:rRNA from 1 species